rnacentral:rRNA from 1 species
AUUGAACGCUGGCGGCAUGCUUUACACAUGCAAGUCGAACGGCAGCACGGGUGCUUGCACCUGGUGGUGAGUGGCGGACGGGUGAGUAAUACAUCGGAACGUGUCCAGAAGAGGGGGAUAACGCAUCGAGAGAUGUGCUAAUACCGCAUAUGCUCUGAGGAGGAAAGUAGGGGAUCGAAAGACCUUACGCUUUUGGAGCGGCCGAUGUCUGAUUAGCUAGUUGGUGGGGUAAGGGCCUACCAAGGCGACGAUCAGUAGUUGGUCUGAGAGGACGACCAGCCACACUGGGACUGAGACACGGCCCAGACUCCUACGGGAGGCAGCAGUGGGGAAUUUUGGACAAUGGGCGCAAGCCUGAUCCAGCAAUGCCGCGUGAGUGAAGAAGGCCUCGGUUGUAAGACGUCUUCUAGUCGAGAGAAAAGGACGUAGCAGUGAAUAACUAGUAGUUUAUUGUACGGUAUCGACAGAAGAAGACACCGG